rnacentral:rRNA from 1 species
AAAACWAGGAUUAGAUACCCUGGUAUAUAUAUAAUUAUUUAAGAUUAUUAUAGUAGAAAUUUAAAAGGUUUGGCAGUUAAUUAUUGAUUAGAGGGAUUUGUUAUAGAAUUUGCUCUUUAAAUUUUAUAAAUUUAUGUAUAUUUAUCUCCGUUUUUAAAUUGUAAUUGGAUAAAUUAAAAUUUAUAUUUCAGGUCAAGAUGUAGCAUAAAUUUGAAUAUAUUAAUCAUAUUUAUAAAAUAUUUAAUUUUUUUUUUGGAAAAAUAGAUGAAGUUAAAUUUAAUUGUAAUAUUAUUUAUAAAAAUAUUAUGAAUUUUAAUAAUUUAUGUUCAUAUUGCCCGUCACUUCUUUUGAAAAAAAGAAUAAGUCGUAACAAAGUAAAAUUUAAGGGA